UGGGGAAUAUUGCACAAUGGGCGCAAGCCUGAUGCAGCCAUGCCGCGUGUGUGAACAAGGCCUUCGGGUUGUAAAGCACUUUCAGCGGGGAGGAAGGCGAUAAGGUUAAUAACCUUGUCGAUUGACGUUACCCGCAGAAGAAGCACCGGCUAACUACGUUCCAGCAGCCGCGGUAAUACGGGGGGUGCAAGCGUUACUCGGAAUUACUUGGCGUAAAGCGCACGCAGGCGGUCUGUCAAGUCGGAUGUGAAAUCCCCGGGCUCAAACUGGGAACUGCAUUCGAAACUGGCAGGGUAGAGUCUUGUAGAGGGGGGUAGAAUUCCAGGUGUAGCGGUGACAUGCGUAGAGAUCUGGAGGAAUACCGGUGGCGAAGGCGGCCCCCUGGACAAAGACUGACGCUCAGGUGCGAAAGCGUGGGGAGCAAACAGG
rnacentral:rRNA from 1 species